CAUCUAUGGAUGAGAAAUGCGGAUA
rnacentral:piRNA from 1 species